rnacentral:rRNA from 1 species
UACGAAGGGGGCUAGCGUUGCUCGGAAUGACUGGGCGUAAAGGGCGCGUAGGCGGCCUGGACAGUCGGAUGUGAAAUUCCUGGGCUCAACCUGGGGGCUGCAUCCGAGACGUUUGGGCUGGAGUGAGGAAGAGGGUCGUGGAAUUCCCAGUGUAGAGGUGAAAUUCGUAGAUAUUGGGAAGAACACCGGUGGCGAAGGCGGCGACCUGGUCCUUUACUGACGCUGAGGCGCGAAAGCGUGGGGAGCAAACAGG